rnacentral:rRNA from 1 species
UACGGGGGGGGCAAGCGUUGUUCGGAAUUACUGGGCGUAAAGGGCUCGUAGGCGGCCAACUAAGUCGGAUGUGAAAUCCCCAGGCUUAACCUGGGAAUUGCAUCCGAUACUGGAUGGCUUGAAUCCGGGAGAGGGAUGCGGAAUUCCAGGUGUAGCGGUGAAAUGCGUAGAUAUCUGGAGGAACACCGGUGGCGAAGGCGGCAUCCUGGGCCGGCAUUGACGCUGAGGAGCGAAAGCCAGGGGAGCAAACGGG